rnacentral:rRNA from 1 species
GUGAGUCAUCGAGUCUUUGAACGCACCUUGCGCUCCUUGGUAUUCCGAGGAGCAUGCCUGUUUGAGUGUCAUGAAAAUAUCAACCAAGACUUGAGUUUUUGCUCUUGUUCUUGGCUUGGAAUUGGGUGCUUGCAAUCCUUACGGAUGGCUCACCUUAAAUGAAUUAGCUGGAUCUGUUCUGAGAAUUGGUUUGACUUGGCGUAAUAAGUAUUUCGCUAAGGACAUCUUCGGAUGGCCAAUACUCUUAACGAUUGUCCGCUUUCUAAUCAUUGUCUUUCGAGACUUUACACUUUUAUGAUCUGGCCUCAAAUCAGGUAGGACUACCCGCUGAACUUAA